AACGAACGCUGGCGGCAUGCCUAACACAUGCAAGUCGAACGAGAUCUUCGGGUCUAGUGGCGCACGGGUGCGUAACGCGUGGGAAUCUGCCCUUUGGUUCGGAAUAACAGUUGGAAACGACUGCUAAUACAGGAUGAUGACGAAAGUCCAAAGAUUUAUCGCCAGAGGAUGAGCCCGCGUAGGAUUAGCUAGUUGGUGAGGUAAAGGCUCACCAAGCCUACGAUCGGUAGCUGGUCUGAGAGGAUGACCAGCCAGACUGGAACUGAGACACGGUCCAGAGUCCUACGGGAGGCAGCAGUGAGGAAUCUACCACAAUGGAGGCAACCCUGAUGGAGCAACGCCGCGUGCAGGAUGAAGGCCUCCGGGUCGUAAACCGCUUUUAUGAGUGAAGAAUAUGACGGUAACUCAUGAAUAAGGGUCGGCUAACUACGUGCCAGCCGCCGCGGUAA
rnacentral:rRNA from 1 species